UGCGCCCAUAGCUCAGUUGGAUAGAGCAACGGACUUCUAAUCCGUAGGUCGCUGGUUCGAAUCCAGCUGGGCGUGU
rnacentral:tRNA from 1 species